rnacentral:rRNA from 1 species
ACCAGACUCCUACGGGAGGCAGCAGUGGGGAAUAUUGCACAAUGGGGGGAACCCUGAUGCAGCGACGCCGCGUGAGUGAAGAAGUAAUUCGUUAUGUAAAGCUCUGUCAGCAGGGAAGAAAAUGACGGUACCUGAGUAAGAAGCCCCGGCUAACUACGUGCCAGCAGCCGCGGUAAUACGUAGGGGGCAAGCGUUAUCCGGAUUUACUGGGUGUAAAGGGAGCGUAGACGGCAUGGCAAGUCAGAUGUGAAAACCACGGGCUCAACCUGUGGCCUGCAUUUGAAACUGUUUUUCUUGAGUGCUGGAGAGGCAAUCGGAAUUCCGUGUGUAGCGGUGAAAUGCGUAGAUAUACGGAGGAACACCAGUGGCGAAGGCGGAUUGCUGGACAGUAACUGACGCUGAGGCGCGAAAGCGUGGGGAGCAAACAGGAUUAGAUACCCCAGUAU